UUAAGCGACUAAGCGUACACGGUGGAUGCCCUGGCAGUCAGAGGCGAUGAAGGACGUGCUAAUCUGCGAUAAGCGUCGGUAAGGUGAUAUGAACCGUUAUAACCGGCGAUUUCCGAAUGGGGAAACCCAGUGUGAUUCGUCACACUAUCAUUAACUGAAUCCAUAGGUUAAUGAGGCGAACCGGGGGAACUGAAACAUCUAAGUACCCCGAGGAAAAGAAAUCAACCGAGAUUCCCCCAGUAGCGGCGAGCGAACGGGGAGCAGCCCAGAGCCUGAAUCAGUGUGUGUGUUAGUGGAAGCGUCUGGAAAGGCGUGCGAUACAGGGUGACAGCCCCGUACACAAAAAUGCACAUAUUGUGAGCUCGAUGAGUAGGGCGGGACACGUGGUAUCCUGUCUGAAUAUGGGGGGACCAUCCUCCAAGGCUAAAUACUCCUGACUGACCGAUAGUGAACCAGUACCGUGAGGGAAAGGCGAAAAGAACCCCGGCGAGGGGAGUGAAAAAGAACCUGAAACCGUGUACGUACAAGCAGUGGGAGCACGCUUAGGCGUGUGACUGCGUACCUUUUGUAUAAUGGGUCAGCGACUUAUAUUCUGUAGCAAGGUUAACCGAAUAGGGGAGCCGAAGGGAAACCGAGUCUUAACUGGGCGUUAAGUUGCAGGGUAUAGACCCGAAACCCGGUGAUCUAGCCAUGGGCAGGUUGAAGGUUGGGUAACACUAACUGGAGGACCGAACCGACUAAUGUUGAAAAAUUAGCGGAUGACUUGUGGCUGGGGGUGAAAGGCCAAUCAAACCGGGAGAUAGCUGGUUCUCCCCGAAAGCUAUUUAGGUAGCGCCUCGUGAAUUCAUCUCCGGGGGUAGAGCACUGUUUCGGCAAGGGGGUCAUCCCGACUUACCAACCCGAUGCAAACUGCGAAUACCGGAGAAUGUUAUCACGGGAGACACACGGCGGGUGCUAACGUCCGUCGUGAAGAGGGAAACAACCCAGACCGCCAGCUAAGGUCCCAAAGUCAUGGUUAAGUGGGAAACGAUGUGGGAAGGCCCAGACAGCCAGGAUGUUGGCUUAGAAGCAGCCAUCAUUUAAAGAAAGCGUAAUAGCUCACUGGUCGAGUCGGCCUGCGCGGAAGAUGUAACGGGGCUAAACCAUGCACCGAAGCUGCGGCAGCGACACUAUGUGUUGUUGGGUAGGGGAGCGUUCUGUAAGCCUGUGAAGGUGUGCUGUGAGGCAUGCUGGAGGUAUCAGAAGUGCGAAUGCUGACAUAAGUAACGAUAAAGCGGGUGAAAAGCCCGCUCGCCGGAAGACCAAGGGUUCCUGUCCAACGUUAAUCGGGGCAGGGUGAGUCGACCCCUAAGGCGAGGCCGAAAGGCGUAGUCGAUGGGAAACAGGUUAAUAUUCCUGUACUUGGUGUUACUGCGAAGGGGGGACGGAGAAGGCUAUGUUGGCCGGGCGACGGUUGUCCCGGUUUAAGCGUGUAGGCUGGUUUUCCAGGCAAAUCCGGAAAAUCAAGGCUGAGGCGUGAUGACGAGGCACUACGGUGCUGAAGCAACAAAUGCCCUGCUUCCAGGAAAAGCCUCUAAGCAUCAGGUAACAUCAAAUCGUACCCCAAACCGACACAGGUGGUCAGGUAGAGAAUACCAAGGCGCUUGAGAGAACUCGGGUGAAGGAACUAGGCAAAAUGGUGCCGUAACUUCGGGAGAAGGCACGCUGAUAUGUAGGUGAAGUCCCUCGCGGAUGGAGCUGAAAUCAGUCGAAGAUACCAGCUGGCUGCAACUGUUUAUUAAAAACACAGCACUGUGCAAACACGAAAGUGGACGUAUACGGUGUGACGCCUGCCCGGUGCCGGAAGGUUAAUUGAUGGGGUUAGCGCAAGCGAAGCUCUUGAUCGAAGCCCCGGUAAACGGCGGCCGUAACUAUAACGGUCCUAAGGUAGCGAAAUUCCUUGUCGGGUAAGUUCCGACCUGCACGAAUGGCGUAAUGAUGGCCAGGCUGUCUCCACCCGAGACUCAGUGAAAUUGAACUCGCUGUGAAGAUGCAGUGUACCCGCGGCAAGACGGAAAGACCCCGUGAACCUUUACUAUAGCUUGACACUGAACAUUGAGCCUUGAUGUGUAGGAUAGGUGGGAGGCUUUGAAGUGUGGACGCCAGUCUGCAUGGAGCCGGCCUUGAAAUACCACCCUUUAAUGUUUGAUGUUCUAACGUGGACCCGUGAUCCGGGUUGCGGACAGUGUCUGGUGGGUAGUUUGACUGGGGCGGUCUCCUCCUAAAGAGUAACGGAGGAGCACGAAGGUUGGCUAAUCCUGGUCGGACAUCAGGAGGUUAGUGCAAUGGCAUAAGCCAGCUUGACUGCGAGCGUGACGGCGCGAGCAGGUGCGAAAGCAGGUCAUAGUGAUCCGGUGGUUCUGAAUGGAAGGGCCAUCGCUCAACGGAUAAAAGGUACUCCGGGGAUAACAGGCUGAUACCGCCCAAGAGUUCAUAUCGACGGCGGUGUUUGGCACCUCGAUGUCGGCUCAUCACAUCCUGGGGCUGAAGUAGGUCCCAAGGGUAUGGCUGUUCGCCAUUUAAAGUGGUACGCGAGCUGGGUUUAGAACGUCGUGAGACAGUUCGGUCCCUAUCUGCCGUGGGCGCUGGAGAACUGAGGGGGGCUGCUCCUAGUACGAGAGGACCGGAGUGGACGCAUCACUGGUGUUCGGGUUGUCAUGCCAAUGGCACUGCCCGGUAGCUAAAUGCGGAAGAGAUAAGUGCUGAAAGCAUCUAAGCACGAAACUUGCCCCGAGAUGAGUUCUCCCUGACUCCUUGAGAGUCCUGAAGGAACGUUGAAGACGACGACGUUGAUAGGCCGGGUGUGUAAGCGCAGCGAUGCGUUGAGCUAACCGGUACUAAUGAACCGUGAGGCUUAACCU
rnacentral:rRNA from 1 species